GAUGAACGCUGGCGGCGUGCCUAAUACAUGCAAGUCGAGCGAACAGACGAGGAGCUUGCUCCUCUGACGUUAGCGGCGGACGGGUGAGUAACACGUGGAUAACCUACCUAUAAGACUGGGAUAACUUCGGGAAACCUGAGCUAAUACCGGAUAAUAUAUUGAACCGCAUGGUUCAAUAGUGAAAGACGGUUUUGCUGUCACUUAUAGAUGGAUCCGCGCCGCAUUAGCUAGUUGGUAAGGUAACGGCUUACCAAGGCGACGAUGCGUAGCCGACCUGAGAGGGUGAUCGGCCACACUGGAACUGAGACACGGUCCAGACUCCUACGGGAGGAAGCAGUAGGGAAUCUUCCGCAAUGGGCGAAAGCCUGACGGAGCAACGCCGCGUGAGUGAUGAAGGUCUUCGGAUCGUAAAACUCUGUUAUUAGGGAAGAACAAAUGUGUAAGUAACUAUGCACGUCUUGACGGUACCUAAACAGAAAGCCACGGCUAACUUCGUG
rnacentral:rRNA from 1 species